AAAUACACCAAAAUAUACAAAAAAAAAGUUUAAUAAGACGCCAAAAAUUUAACUUUCAAUAAUUUUGAAUAAUCCUAGUUUAGGGACUCUGCACGUUAAAUGCCGUUUCCAUUUUUUCUUUACGAUGAUCACAGCGCCUUCUAGCGUGGCAACAGAAAAACAUCUUUUUUCGGAGAUGGGUGUAUAAGUUGCUCUGUAAUUCAAUAAUGAACUAUACUAUCGAGCUGGAAUCCUGCGAAUCCUCAAGAUAUUAAUAAAUAUAUGGGGAAAAAUUUGUAUUUGUAUCUUUAUCCACUUUUUCACAAAAAAUUUUUAAAAAAAAACGACCUUCACAAGAGAUGACUCCCUUAAGGCAAUUAUGAAAAGAUCGGAGCGACUGGUAGUCGAACAGUAAGAUAUUAGGGCUAUACGGUGGACGAAUAAAAACUUCCUAACCAAACUUAUCUUUUUUCUAAGUCAGCAAGAGCCUUUGUGAACCCACAUUGAUCUACUAUAGGAUGGUAUCAUACAAUUUUAUCAAUUUACGCUUUUUCUGGAAAUAACAAUAAUCGUUGGCGCAAUUAGAUGUGGAUCAUGAAGCGUGUCAGAGCACUUCAUUCAAGACUGUACAUUAUAGUUGGUAUUUCUGAAAAGUGCCGCUCAAUUUCAUUUAUUGCUGACAGUAGAGAGGGUUGAAAAUUAAUAGUUUGGACAAGCUUGAGGAAGUAGUACGAAAUUCCCAUCCGAUUCCGCAGGACCAGAAAUUCGUUUCCUUUAAUAAGUACUUUAUGGCCUUUUCUGGAGCAUCAGCUCGUUUCUCUCACACUCGCGAUAAAUCUGUUUACCUAUUUUCUAACUACUUUCUAACUUGUUUGCAUGCGCAAAUUCGGUCGAGGCAUUUUUUGCCCAGAUCGUGCUAUUUAUAUAGUACGCUUGUCCCAAAACCCAGAUAAAGGAGGAGGCUUUGAGGCAACGUAUUUUGUACUAUCCUCAGUAAAACAAAAAUAAAAUGAUAAGCUAAUGGGAAGAGAUGAAUAAAGUAUAGUUGGAAUUACUUCACUAUACUAAAUCCUACCUGAUUUCCCUUAGUGGCAGGUCUCGCGGCAAGCCGACCAAGGAAAUGCAUUCAAUUUCGUUAAAAACAAAAAUGACCAUGUUAAAUUCAAGGCGUUCACCUCUCUCGACGUAGCGAGACAUGGGUAAAGAAGGGGGUUUGACGCAUGGACGGGCUUCAGGACGUAAGUGAAUUAGUCAGAGCAAAACAAAUACGAGCCGACUCCGCUUCUGAAGAAGAUAACGGCGGGAGAAGAAGUAAAAGAUCAUGUGACACCCACUUAUCGAGUUCCUUGACAAACCACCACUAAACCAAGCCACAAGCAAACGAAUCACAACCCUAACUAAAAAAUGAGCAUUUUUAGUUUCUCAGCAAUCUUACAUGUGGAUUUUCUUAAAUUGGUCUGUAGAAUUUUGUAGCAUUUUUCUAUGAUUGAUGGAUCAAUGCGAUGUUCUUCCCCACGCGAAUUUCCAGAAUGAAAUCGUUCAAAGCAUUACUCUGCUAUGCGCCCUUGUAAUGUAUAUGUUUCAUAAACAUCACAAUUUUUCGGAGGCAUACUUAGUAACUUUGGCUUGCAUUAAGGCAAAUUUUAAAACAACUGACAUUUCUUCACUUUUAUAAAAUAUCCCAAUAUGCAAUAUCCCUUUCUUGACUAAAAUAUUCUUCAAAUUAGUACUACAACAUCUAUUGAUUAAAAUAGAAUCAAUAUUGCUACUUCAGAAACAUUUACGCUAAAAUGGGAGAAGACUUCCUUAAGCGCGUGGGUGUGUCUUCUGCUUACUUCCUUUGCGGGGUAUAGGAUCCAUACAACUUUAGUCUUCAAUGAGAUUGUGCUUCAGUUUCACUAUUAUCAAACUUAGUGCUAUGCAAGUGAUAAGCCUACAUCAGCGGGACAGCACAAAAACUAACACAAACUUCAACUUCAACUUGUCCGUUGGAGUCAUAUUGGGGCUUUAUGGUGGCUUUGGCAGCGUCGUCACACCCAUUCUGGCGACUAGUUGAGCGUGGUGUGGCUUGGCGCAUUGUCACGGUGCAGUAUCCAAUUGUUGAAAAUUUCUUUUCCAACGUGUCGAACCCUGUUGUGCAACCGUUUCAGUACUUACCUGUUAAAGUUUUCUUUGACUGUUUGUUCUUCGGUCACAACUUCACUGCGAACCAGACCUUUUUGGUUAAAAAACACAAUGAUCGUCUUCUUGAUUGAUGAUUUACUCAUCCUUACUUUUUCCGGACGAGAAGAUCUCUUACUGUGCCAUUCACUGCUCUGACGCUUUGAUUUACGAUUAUACUCAAAAAACCACAUCUCACUCUUUAUUAUCACUCUGGCCAAAAAUUAUGUAUUCGUUACGUGGUGUUCCGGAAAUUUCUUGGCACUUUUAUCUUAAUUCUCAGGACUUUCCGCACCAUUUUCGCGUUGCUCAAAAAUCUGGUCUAUGUUUUUCUUGAUGAGGGUGCAGUAGGUACCUGUGCGCGGGGUGUAACCCUGCAUUAACAACUGCCUGGCAUCCGCCUCGUCUUGAAGCUUAGAUCCGGCAAACACUUUUCAGCCUGAAUUUCCGGCAGUCCGAACCAACUACAAAAAAAUUUUGUGGGAAGUUUUGGAACAGAUCUUGUAUAUGGUUGCGUAUUAUCCCAAAAAUGGUAUCGUACGUUAACUGCACAUGCGCUAAAGUUUCGAUGAAAUCUGCCCCAGCUCCAUGCUGGUCUUGCCGAUAAGCACUCGAAAUUUUGCUAUAAAUUCAUUGAUCAAUUUUCGGACCAAAACUAAUAAUUUGGUAGUUUAUUCAGCAUCAUUCACAGAAUUCGGUGCACAUUUUCAGGCACACGAACAUGCGGAAAACCUCCCACACAGUCUUUAAUUCUGCAAAGAAUCGCAUUAUAAUUCUUUCUGGGACUCUCCUCUAAUUAUCGGGUGCUUAUAGGAAGGAAGGAAUGUUUGAUUUGAUUGACUUGUAUUAUUGAAGCUUUUAUUUCUGUGUAUGUAACUCCGGAUGUAAGCCGGAUUUGUUGUUUUUCUUCGUACUUUUCGUUCUUAUUACUUUGGUUUGACUUAUAAUUUCUGCUUUCUUUACUUAAGCAUUAAACCAACUUCGUUGCACGCUGCAGGUCAGGUGAUAGUGCGGGUGGUGAAGAGCGGUAAUUUUUUUUUGUUCGACUGGCGAAUAAUUCUGGCGUUUUGGGCCGACGCAUUAUUAGGCAAGAAAAACCAAUCUAUUGACGCAUGAAAUUCCGCUGGAGUACUAUUCUGUCUUGCUUAGAAAAACUAGAAGGAACCUUCACAUAAAUAUCCGCUUUUAAUUUUCCGCGCAAAAAAAGCAUGCUUCACCGUUAAUUGAUGAUGUGAUGUGAAGUUGGAGCUAAAAGAUCAUUUCCAGUAGGAUUCAUUAUCCUCACAAUUGGAGUAUAAGAGUCCUCUUAGUCCAUGAUGAGCUUUUGUAUUUUUGGAUAAGAUUUUUUUGGAUAGAUUUCAUUUGAAAAUCCAUUUGAAACCCAGAGUUCGAUGUCGUGUUGGAAGUGAUACUUUUUGUCAGGUUUUGUUAUUUUCAAGGACUCAAUUUCCUGCUGAAUGGCCUUUCUCGUUUCAAAUUGAUAUCUAUCGUUGAGUGGCUCUGUCUUCAGUGCGUGGAUGAAGUCUCUAAGUUUCCAGCGGGGUGGGAGCUGAUUUCGUGCUCAGUUCCUGUUUUUUAACAACUUCUAAUUCUUUCUUCAUUUGCUCUUCGUUUGCUUUGAAUCUGCUGAUUCCAGUAUGCUGUUGUUGAAUUUGUCGUUACCAAUUCACUUUCCCGAGCUUGUUCUAUCGAAAUUGACCCUCGUUUCGUCGUAGAUGAUAUCUUUUAUCAACGAUACCUCGUUGUUGUGAUUGCCGGAGUUUAUAUCUAUUGGGCAGUAGCCGAAGUCAAGAAGACUACAUUUCCUGGUGCAUUGCUUGAUUUUGAAUCGUGGGAGCAAAGUAUCGCACAUGUUCGACGUUCUUCAAUCACUUGCGCGGGAAGAACUCUGAGCAGCGUUUGAUGGGGUUGGUGUCGUGUAUGUGAUAGAUGGGAUGAGGAAACUUAUGACUGGGACCCCAGGGAGGGUGAUUGCUAAAAAUCACGCUAAAGUACCGCCCAGACUUCAGUGCGUUUCUGUACUGCCCCAACAGCCUGGAGGAUGUCGCUACUGAGUACAUGGCCAUGUUACGAUUGGGUCUCAGAUCAUGCCCGCUUGAAAUACACUGGCGAAUCCUGGGAGACCGCACUACAUACAUACACACAGUGUACCCGAGAAAACUCCCGCAACAACUCCACAGACCAUUGAUAUUGACAUGUCGGUGAAGACUGCGUGAAGUUCGGCUUGAGAGUGUCGUAGUAUGUAGAGAAUGCCCACAGUUCCCGAAGUACUUCGUCUGGGAUGUUUCGUUGCCGUACGGCUUUUCUGUCCAUCAUCCAAACUCACGUAAUCUGACAGCGCUGCACGCUACAACGUAUUUAAUGUGGAAGUCUAGGGGGAAGAGAUGUAGAAGUGCGGGAAGGGUUUUUGCUCAACGCUUGCCACUAUACAGUACAACCGUACGUUGGGGUGGGACAUACCACGGCUGUGUACAUCCAAGGAACCACCCUUGGCCGGAAAUCCCAUUUCCUCGCAAAGGUCCUCUUGCAGGCAUAGAACGCUAUACAGGACUUCUUAACCUUCAGUUGUAUGUUCGAUCUCCAAUUCAGCUUCGGAUCCAUGAUUACACCCAGACUCUUUACAUUGCAAGAAAGAACCAAUUUUUGUUCAUUCCCACUUACUUGGUGAUUAACAUCAGUUCCUGACGGAAUGUUUUUCAGAAGACUAGACGGAUCAAUAAUCUUUUCUAGUGUAGAGCCAAUUCGAAAUUAUCCUCAUAGGUUUGAUAACUUCACUAGCGAUAGAAUAGUUGCAACCACUCAAUAAUCGAAGAUAACUAUCUUCAGUCCCCACCAGCCACAGUUCUCUCCCAAUUCACAACAAACGACAUGACUUUUAUAACCAAAACAAUGGCUAGCCAUAAAAACCACAUGUAAAUAGUUACUUCUUAGAACAGAGAUGAAUUAAAACUUUAAAAAGAAAAAAAAACUAAUAAAAGUAAUAUUAUAUUCAACCAAUAUUUAAUGUCUAAUUUGAAGUUUCGACUACAAACAAGCAAAAAUUGAAAUUUGGAUGAAAAAA